GACGAACGCUGGCGGCGUGCCUAAUACAUGCAAGUCGAGCGGGGUUACUGUGGUGGAACCCUUCGGGGUGAAACUGCUUUAACCUAGCGGCGGACGGGUGAGUAACGCGUGGGUAACCUGCCCUAAAGACCGGGAUAACAGCGGGAAACCGCUGCUAAUACCGGAUACCUUUACUGGGGGGCAUCCUCUGGUAAAGAAAGGAGCAAUCCGCUUUAGGAUGGGCCCGCGUCCCAUUAGCUAGUUGGUGAGGUAACGGCUCACCAAGGCGACGAUGGGUAGCCGGCCUGAGAGGGUGAACGGCCACACUGGGACUGAGACACGGCCCAGACUCCUACGGGAGGCAGCAGUAGGGAAUCUUGCGCAAUGGGCGAAAGCCUGACGCAGCGACGCCGCGUGAGCGAAGAAGGCCUUCGGGUCGUAAAGCUCUGUCCUCAGGGAAGAAGGAAGUGACGGUAC
rnacentral:rRNA from 1 species